CACGCUGGUCUUCCCAAGGUCUGCGCCCAAUUUUAUGUUGGCCUCCCUCCAGUUUGUGCCCGUGCACCCGUCAGGACCGCUGUGCAGGCGCAGAGGCCCAGCCCAGCUGCCGGGUUCAGCACACCUUGUGCUGAAUCACCCCACCCAGGACCCCAGCAGUAGGUUUGGCCCCCCCUUUCCAGGGGGUUGUGCACCCGUGGCUUCCCUGGGCUGUGCUGGAGGAAGGGAGCAAGGGGAAGAGGCGAGCCCCAGGGCUGCCACCGUUGCUUGUGGCUUCUUCCCGCUGCGGGGAAUUGUUUUCUUCACCGGUGCUAGGUCCAUCUGUGGGGACGUCGCAUGUGUUGAAGGGCAUCCUCCCAGCUCUGAGCCGGACUCCUGGAGCAGUUUAGCUCAGCGUGUUCCUCAACCACCUUGCCUCAUUUUUUGCCACCGUUUUAGGGAGAAGCAGCAGGAAGCGCGGCAAGGUGGGAUGUUUAGAAGAAAGCCAGACCGCGUUCCCCCAGCAGCGGCGGAAGAGAGGAGGAGGUAGAAAUGGAAAGGAUAAAAAUGCUGACCAUCGGCUAGGAGCCAAGCAGCUGGACUGGGACUCGGACCCGGCGUUGUGCUGACUGACAGGCGUCGCGCCCCCAGGCUGGCCUGCUUUGCGUAGAAUUUUGUGAAUAAUGCCUUCUUUCCUGACUGGCUUCCAGAAGAAUCGUACCAGAAGAAUCGCACGUACCUUGUUUUCUUAGGCAAGAACUGGCUGUUGUUGAUAAGUUACUUCUGAAGAAUCAGAUGGCUGAUCGAGUAAAAGACCACGAUCAGAAUUCUGUACUGUGCGUAUCAGGUAUGUUUAUUUAGAUUUUGUUAUCUUAGGAGACAUUUUUGAGCAAAAUAAACAUUGAACCUUUAAGCUACUUUUUUUUUCUACCUUGUUGAAUUUUCUUUAAGCCUUAGUGCAUUUAAAGACUUUUAAUAUGUACUAAAUACAGUAAUGGUAAUGUGCCUUUACACAUUUUUUAGGAUUUUAUGGUCGCUCAGAAGUAAAACAUACCGUUUUAAAGAUUUGAAAUAACCCUACCAACACAAUGUAAAAAUAAAACUCUGUUUAUUAGGAUUGCCAUACCUACUAAGCAUGUGCAGUGUAAUCAGAUGUUAGAAGUAAAUUUCCCUCAAUUCAAGUCAUUAGUUCAAGAUAUUUGCCAAGACUUCCGUAAGCCUAACUUUGCAUCUUUACAUAAAACUUAAAACUUUUUUCCACCUAAACUGUACUCUUAAAAAAACAACAACAAAAA